rnacentral:miRNA from 1 species
AGUGGUGCUGAGAACCUGCAGU